AACUAGCACACCAGUGAAGAUUCAGUCAAGCUGACAUGCUAGAUUUCUAAAUGCUUAGAAGUUGUUCUGUUGCCAGUGGUCUCUUACAUUCAGCUGGUAACAAGGAUUGGUUCCCCAAAUAUUAAAGAACCCAUAGCACAUUUCUUCACUUGAUCAUAAAUCAAGAGAAACAGAGAAAGUUUCUCCUCAAUACUCCGCAGAACGAAUCCAGAUGACCAGCUUACCAAGCGGUCAUUGCACAGUGUUAUGAGAUAUGGCUUGGUAAAUUAUAUUCAUCCAAUGUCACAUGACUGCCCAGGUUAAUGUAUGUCUUAUUCUGCUUCUUAUCUAGGAUUUCCAUACCUCCUGGGGGAAUUAGGAUCGAUCUCAAUAUGGCCAAUUUCUUUUCGCUUGGGAAGCCCCCAAACCAUUUUCUAACACCACAGCUCCUACGCUGCAGUAAGAUGCACAAAAUGUGUCAAAUAUCCACAACCCUGCUCUUAGAUUGCUCUGACUGAUGGAGCCUUGAAGGACAUUAUAUUAGUACAAUGCAUGUCCAGCCGACCAGCAAAUGUCAGGACCCCCGGUGGCUGUUGCCAGCCUUACAUGGCUGCUAGUCAAACAGCUAACAGGGGACAUGUAACUUCUUUUUAUGUAUGCGUUCUUACUGUAGUGCGUUUCAUUUGAAUAUUAGUUCAUCAUCUUUCCCAAAGAGGGGGUGUAUGCUUGUUUGGGGCACAGGUUGAGUGGAAGAAACCAUCUUUGUAAUCUGUAAAUGCUGAAACCUUUAUAAAUGUGUGCAAUUCAAUGGCAUAUUCUUCAGAGAAAGUGAGCUCCAUGGCUGUGUGGGGACUGGGAUUCUGGUCUCCUAAGUCCCAGACUAACACUCAAAUCACUAUGCCACACUGGUUUAAGCUAUGUACCUGACAGCAAAAUUUCUGUAUUCUGAAUCUACCCUAUUUAGCUAAAACUGAAGAGACAUAGCUUGUUGAUCUUAAAUCAGUGCAGUCCUGCCACUUUCAUUCGCAUAGCGCCAAACCAUGAUCUGGCAUUGCUUCUGACCUUGUGUCCAGUUUUAAGAAUUACUGGUAAAUGUCAACAACCACAGAGCUUAUGACAGUUACUGCAACACAUUCCUGUUCAAGUCAAAGAUUAUAAAACUAGAACCUUAAUACCUGAAAUGUGCAAUAUCUGAGUAAUUUAUAGUAUUCCCAUAAAAAUCCCAAAGGGAAAUCUCAGAAAAUUACAUUUACCAGUAAAUCUCAAAGCUAACUCAGUGCCUUCAAUAAAUGUCUAAAUGUCAUCUUCAUUUCCAUCGUAAAUGUCUAAAUCUCAUCCUCAUUUCUAUCAUUUACCAGUGAAGGACAUUUAUAAGCCCUGGGACACAAACAUCUGACAUUUCCGGCUGGGCGUCCUAAAAUCUUGAGAAUUGCAAGAAAUCAGCAGAAAGUCACUACAAGCAAGCCUACUUCACAAAGAGAGUGGAAAAGUGGACUAUGGAUCAGUUUGAUGCUUGGUCUGCUUGUAGCAAAUUUCACCAUCAUCCCUACAUAAGACAUGUCAAGAUGAGGAAAAAUGUAUUUCAGGUACCUGGGACUCCAAAACAGAACAUGCCAGCUUUUUCAAAUCCAGGGAAACUGUGUGUGUUGCACCCUCUUUCAAUGCUUUCAAAUAAACUUUGUAAAAAUAUUCAAUCAACAUUUCUAGGCAUGAUCGCACUUUAGAGGAACUGUGCCCUUUAUCUUUCAUUAGAUCUUAACUUUCUAGGUGUUCCUCUAUUAAAUUCUGAUUAGCCUCUCUAGGAGCUUCUCCUACUGUUUAAACCAAGCUUUUAAAACAUGUAAUUUUCUGGCUAAUCCUCAUGCUCACCUAAAUGCCUACCUUAACAUUAGCUAUCCCUUAACCUGACAAUAACUCUUCAGUUUCCAAAGCAACAAACAUACCUAUUUAAGAGCUUCCUUUUGUCUAAUAUACUAAUCCUAGAUAUGCAGUGAUAGUGCAUCCAGUUUUAACUGUUUUGCUUUCCUUUGGGAGAAGCCCAGAGAACUGUUAUGAGAGGUCACAUAAAUGCAGUUAAUAAAUUAACCCCGCUUACAUGAGAGUAAGCACCAUUGAAUUCAAAAAGGCUUCUUUCAGAGCAGACACCAAACCCAAGAAAACUGGCUUGUUCAUGUUGCUACCUUCCCUUGAUAAGCUAUUCUUUGUUGAACCAAUUAAAACAAAUGAGACUGGUUUCUU